CUACUGAGCCACACCGGCCGGGACCUCGUGAUUUUCUUAAUAACAUUGUCUCUUCUUUAGAUUACUUUCUUGGAAGAAUACAGUAUAGAGUAGACGUACAAAAUACACGCUAAUCGACUGUCAUCAGGGAGGGUCGGGUCAGCAGCGGGCUCUCGGUGGUCACAUGUUGGUGGAGUCAGAGUUACACACGGAUGUUUUCACUGCUCUGGGGGUGCAGCGCCCCCACCCCACACUGUUCCAGGGUCACCUGUGCCCUGGACACGAGUCCUCUGGUCGGGGAAUCGUGGCAGCUCCUUGUUGGUCCAGAUGUGUCUGCUUCCUGCUCCAUCCUUGCCCCUCGGGGUCUCCUGGGAAUGGUCGGCCACGAGGUCUGAAGACACUUCGGAAGAGAACCAGUUGUCCCAGCCCUUGUCCCCGUGCCGGGCGUCACGUGGCGGCCUGUCUGCCCUGAGGUCACAGCUGGUGUCUCUCUCCACCACCCAGGACACGCGCCCGGAAAUAGUCCCUUCUCCUCACUUCUUUCCUGGCGCCCUCAGCUCUGCCAUGACCAUUUGGAACAACUGGCCCAAAU